rnacentral:lncRNA from 1 species
GCAUUCAUUCCUUUUAAAAAACCAAAUAAACCAAAACCCUAAUCCUAAAUUCAUUUCAUUAGCCUCCACCACCACUCUCUCUACCUCCUCCUCUCUCUCUCAAAACCUCUCCCGCCGCCAGCUCUCUCCGAUCCCCCUCCCCAUCGCCGCUCUGCCACCCCGUGGCCGCUCUGCCACCAACGACGGCAGCAACACUGCCUCCCUCCAUUCGCUCCUCCGGUGGAACCAGCUGCCGCCGUCAACGCCUAACACUGGCGUCGUCCCCCUCGCCUCCUCCUUCUCCCUGUUCACCAUCCCUCCUCCGGCGCCGUCCUCUCCAACGAAACCAGCGAACCAGCGCCAUCCUCCACUGCUGAAACAGCCAUCGCUUCGCCAUAAAACGAUGGGUUCUGAAGAACCCAUCCUAGGUUUGAUUUCAUAUUUUAUUUUUUCUCUCCUAACGUGACAGAUUUAUGUGAUUAGAAGUUAAUUUGAUUAAGUAUGUUGAUAAAAUCUUAUGUGCUUUAGUUUGAUUAAUUAUCUAUGCUGUUAUGCAUGAGGAUUCUCCAAUUUUAUUGUAUUAUUGGGAAUUUCUUUUUAUUUUUUUGAAAUUGUUAUAUGUGCGUAUGUUUUGACGUAGUUCAUAUCGAAAAAUUAAACUAGUAAGGUAUUUGAUUGUGUCUGCUCCUUACCGACAGUACUAGAAAGGAGAAUAAAAUUCUAACUAGAAAGGAGGUGUAGGUAUGAAGUCUGGGACUAAUUAAAAACCACACACAUGAUUAUGAAUAGUUAUAAAUUGAUUUUUUUGGUGUUAUUAGUUGAUUUUAGUUAAUUGAUUCCUGGACCACCAGUUUAGGGCACAAAGCAACACACAACUUUUAUUAUUUUUCUACCACUUGCCUAAUCGUUCAAAUUACCUUUUUUGACUGACAAGGAUUAUACAAAAUUGUAGCCAUGUGUUAUGUUAUUAUAAUUUUAUUUUAAAUUCUAUAUAUUGUUACUUUAAAAAAGAAAAAAAAAAGACUAUCAAGUCAUUCACGGAAUAUUUAUGGGUAAAAUUCUUUAAAAUGUUAAAUUUCUAGUUUUGAAAAUAAGACAGGUUCUAAGUUGAUUGAAACAGAGAUAUGAUUGGGGAUUUAGAAAAGCUUGAGCAAGAACAAUUCCAUCUAGGGGAUCUGAUUGGAAUUAUUCUGAAAUAACUAUUUAAAAAUAGUUAGUGUAGUGACUUGAAAUAUGUACUAGUGACUUGAAAAUGGUUAAGUAUAGUAACUUGAAAAUGUGAAUUAGUUAAUUGAAAAUAUGCAAGUGUAGUGACUUCAAAUGCUAGUACAUGACUUGAAAAUGGUUAAGUGUAGGGACUUUAAAGGGAAUUUUUUUGAUUUAAAGUUCUUGAAUGUGGACUUGUAUUUUGAAUUUAGUUAAGUGUGGUCACUUGAGAAGUGAAUAAGUACUUGAAAAUAUUUAAGUUUAGGUUGUUGAAAUGUGAACUUGUGUUUUGAAUUUAGUUAAGUGUGGUCACUUGUGAAGUGAGUUGGUGACUUGAAAAUGCAUAAGUGUAAGUACUUGAAACGUGGACUUGUGUUUUGAAUUUAGUUAAGUUUGGUCAUUUGUGAAGUGAAUUAGUCACUUGGAAUGUUUAGAUGUAGUUUCUUGAAUUAUGAACUUGUGUUUUGAAUAUAGUUGUGUGUGGUCACUUGAGAAGUGAGUUAGUGACUUGAAAAUGCACAAGUGUAGGUACUUGAAACGUAGACUUGUGUUUUCAAUUUAGUUAAGUUUGGUCACUUGUGAAGUGAAUUAGUCACUUGGAAUGUUUAGAUGUAGUUACUUGAAUUAUGAACUUGUGUUUUGAAUAUAGUUAAGUGUGGUCACUUGAGAAGUGAGUUAGUGACUUGAACAUGUUUAAGUGUAGGUACUUGAAAUGUAGACUUGUGUUUUGAAUAUAGUUAAGUGUGGUCACUUGAGAAGUGCAUUAGCGAGUCGAAAAUGUUUUAACUGUAGUUACUUGAAAGGUGGACUUGUGUUUUGAAUUUAGUCAAGUGUGGUCACUUGAGAAGUGAAUAAGUACUUGAAAAUGUUUUAAGUGUAGGUAGUUGAAAUGUGGACUUGUGUUUUGAAUUUAGUUAAGUGUGGUCACUUGAGAAGUGCAUUAGUGAGUCGUAAAUGUUUAAGUGUAGUUACUUGAAAGGUGGAAUAGUGAUUUUUGUUUUGAAUUUAGGUACUUGAAAUGUGAACUUGCGUUUUGAUUUUAGUACUUGAGAAGUGAAUUAGUGACUUCAAAAUGUUUUCAAAUGUAGGUACGUUUUUUCAUUUUGAAUUUAGUUUAGUUUAGUAACUUGUGAAGUGAAUUAGUUACUUGAAAAUGUUUAGGUGUAGGUAUUUGAAAUGUGAACUUUUGUGACUUGAACUAAUCACUUGAAUUUGAUUGAUUGUAUAGAUGAAAUCUGAUUAUAGCUGGAUAUAUCAACGAAAUAUCGAUAAUAGAAUGGAUAAGGCUGAGAAUGAAGUUGCGGAUAAUGAGUUGUAGUUUUUAGUAUUUUGUAUGUUUUAUAGUUUGGAUUUGGAACCUCGAUAAAUUUUGUAAAUAAUGUUUGUAUUCUUAUGGUGAUUGGUUGAUUGUAUAUUAAAUAAUUGGUGGGAUGUGUUGUAGAUAAUAAUCAAUGUUUUUAAA